UUUUAUUUUGAAAUUAUCUUUUUGAGUUGCGCUUUUAUUUUUUGAGUUGCGCUUUUAUUUUUUGCGGUUUUGAUUCUAAAACCUGUCGACACGUAAAAACAACGACAUGUCAGUCAAGGCGAAGAGAGGCGGGACAUCCCUGAUAUCCAGAAGCUCAUUGGCUGCCGAAUAACACCGAGUCUUCCGUCAACAGACCAGUUUAGAAUGUGCCGGGCCGUUGUUAUGCAUGCCAUAACAAAAAAAGGCAGGAAUACUGAGGCAGCUAUGACGUGGAUGUCUACAACUUCUUUAAGAUGCAGGCCCCAAAGACGUCCCUGGUGUGAUGCAAAGGCUGUCCAGCAGGCUCACAGACAUCUCCUGUUAACUGAAAGAGAAGCAUUUAAAAUAGUUGUCCAUUUUGACCAUGAUUGCAUUGACAACAUGCCCAGGUACACUGUCUGCUUCCCAUUUCUCAGUGCCUGCACAAAAACAGUGACUUUUCCACCUCAAGUCUUUUGAGGAGUUUUAAAAACAGUUAUUUUAAUUUCUCUGAAUUGUGGUUCAGAAUUUCACACAAUCUAAUACACUUGACUCUGUUUCAAAGAUAUUUGCAAAACCAUCAGUCUUUUGUACAAAAGACAUUUAAUGGUCAAACAUUAAAAAUGAAGCUUUACAAAAUACCAGUGGUGAUUAUUAGCCAUUUAUUUUCUUAAGGGGGGCAGUAUUUUGUGAGACAGAUGAGAUCUGUUCAUAUUGUUAGUUUUUGUUACAUCCUGCUGAGAUAACAUGCAUAGAUCAGUACAUAAAUGUUAAUGUCUUGGUCAUGGUUUUCCAUUGUCCCACAAGGGUUGAACAGGUCUGAGAGGAGAGAGGACAAGCCACAGAGGGAACAACAACUCCAACAGUUUCCUGCUCUGCCUGGUUUAAGUUAGUCUGUCGUCCAAUAUCCACAGCAUCCUGCACACAAAGAAAAAUGUAUUUAAGAAAGUUAAAAUGAGAAUAUAUACAUAUAUAUACCUUAAAUGAUACUCAGUAGCUGCAUAUUGUGAGAGUUAACUUCCUGUGUGAACAUGCAAUCUUUAAGGUUGAGAAUAAAAUGGUCUGGGAUUACAGUUCAGAAUCAGAAAAACUUUAUUGAUCCCACACGUGGGAAAUUUGUUCUGGUACCUCAGAUAAAUGAUGUGUUUCUGAAUCAUAAUUUUUUUUUUUUUUUUUAAAUCGGGAUGAACUUGAUCCCAAACUAGGAAAGGUGUCACUUUCUUACAACAAUAUUGAGAAAUAUUGAGAAACCUUAUAAAUUAUACAUGAAUGUACUUCUUAAAAAACGAUUUGAUUAACCCUAGUGACAAUUCACGGGCAAUUAUUCCCAGG